GACGAACGCUGGCGGCGUGCUUAACACAUGCAAGUCGAACGGAAAGGCCCUGCUUGCAGGGUACUCGAGUGGCGAACGGGUGAGUAACACGUGGGUGAUCUGCCCUGCACUUCGGGAUAAGCCUGGGAAACUGGGUCUAAUACCGGAUAUGACCUUCCAUGUAGUGUGGGGGGUGGAAAGAUUUAUCGGUGUGGGAUGAGCCCGCGGCCUAUCAGCUUGUUGGUGGGGUAAUGGCCUACCAAGGCGUCGACGGGUAGCCGGCCUGAGAGGGUGGACGGCCACAUUGGGACUGAGAUACGGCCCAGACUCCUACGGGAGGCAGCAGUGGGGAAUAUUGCGCAAUGGGCGGAAGCCUUAUGCAGCGACGCCGCGUGGGGGAUGACGGCCUUCGGGUUGUAAACCUCUUUCGACAGGGACGAAGCUUCGGUGACGGUACCUGUAGAAGAAGCACCGGCUAACUACGUG
rnacentral:rRNA from 1 species